rnacentral:rRNA from 1 species
AGAACGAACGCUGGCGGCAUGCCUAAUACAUGCAAGUCGAACGAACUCUUCGGAGUUAGUGGCGCACGGGUGCGUAACGCGUGGGAAUCUGCCCCUUGGUUCGGAAUAACAGUUGGAAACGACGUGCUAAUACCGGAUGAUGACGAAAGUCCAAAGAUUUAUCGCCAAGGGAUGAGCCCGCGUAGGAUUAGCUAGUUGGUGAGGUAAAGGCUCACCAAGGCAACGAUCCUUAGCUGGUACUGAGAGGAUG